CCAGAGGACAGGUCACAGUGACUCAGCCUGCAGCAGUGACCUCUGCUCUGGGAGCCUCCGUCUCCAUCUCAUGUAGGACCAGUCAGAAUGUUUAUGUCGCGAGCAGCUACCACUGUUUAGCCUGGUACCAACAGAAAGAUGGAGGAACUCCUAAACUCCUCAUUUACUAUGCUAGCACUCGAGCAUCAGGGAUUCCAGAUCGUUUUUCAGGGAGUGGAUCAAACUCUGCCUUCACUCUGACCAUCAGUGGAGUCCAGACUGAAGAUGCAGCAGUUUACUACUGUCAGAGUUUUCAUGUCAUCAACAGUCAGCAUGUGUACACGUUCGGUGGAGGAACCAGACUGGAUAUUGGAAGUGAUGUGCGUCCCACCCUGACGGUGCUGCCCCCCUCCAAUGAGGAGCUGGAGCAGGGGAAGGCCACCCUCAUGUGCCUGGCCAACAAAGGCUUCCCCUCAGGCUGGAGUCUGGCCUGGAAGGUGGACGGCAGCAGCAGCAGCAGCAGCUGGGAGGAGAGCAGGAGCCCUGCGGUGCUGGAGAAGGACGCUCUCUACAGCUGGAGCAGCACCCUGAGGCUCUCUGCAGACCAGUGGAGGAAGGUGGGCUCUGUGACCUGUGAGGCCACCCAGGGCGCCCAGGCUCGAGUCACAGAAAGUCUGAGUAGAGACCAGUGUUCCCAGUAAUGCCUCACUGGGACUGUGCUGCUGGUUUUACUGUGAUACUGCUCUCACUCUGCACCUCUCUCUCUCUUUAUUUCAUGUUUCUAAAGAAUAAAUAUUAGCUUGUUGCUUCAUAUGUGUGUGUAUUGUUUCCUGAUAAUCUGUUCAUUAAAUCAAUGAGAAAUACA